rnacentral:rRNA from 1 species
UACGUAGGGUGCGAGCGUUGCCCGGAUUUAUUGGGCGUAAAGGGCGCGUAGGCGGCUCGGCACGUCCGUUGUGAAAGCCCCCGGCUCAACUGGGGAGGGUCACGCGAUACUGGUCGACUCGAAGGCAGGAGAGGGUAGUGGAAUUCCCGGUGUAGUGGUGAAAUGCGUAGAUAUCGGGAGGAACACCAGUGGCGAAGGCGACUACCUGGCCUGUUCUUGACGCUGAGGCGCGAAAGCUAGGGGAGCAAACGGG